UUGUUAUUGCCAUUUUUGCAGGUCCAUG
rnacentral:piRNA from 1 species